GCAGUGCAAAAACUUCUUGGAGUGUUUUUUUCUGUGUGCAGCCUCCUACUGACAGCUGCAGAGAGAAAUGUCUUCUGGCCUUUUUAUCCCUUCCUCUUGCUGUGUGCUUUUUCUAUCAGCUAUCCCAUAAAUAUUUUGCUGUAACUGGCACAGAGGAUGAGCCUUGCUCAGGACCUCAUCAGGAAUGAGACACAGAACUGGGUGAUUUUAAGGCAGCUGGAGGCUACCAAUCAUCUUGCACAACUUCAGAGCUUCACAGUCCCCCUUGUGCUUAGAUUUCAGUCAUAUGCUUAGUGUUUCACGACCAAUUCAUAUUUAUUCAAUCUGGUGCCGAAGUUCAUUCUUUGUUGUCAGCAGUUUGUAUUCCCUGAUCCUCAUUACAGAUCCCCCUUCCUGUCUAUUCCCAUCCUUUGCAAAAGCAUAACUAUCCUGCACAUCCCUGGGCUCAUCUUCUUAUGCAGCAUGUAUCACUCACAUGCUAAAUAAGGCACUUCAGAUUUUCAGAUUUGGGUGAAGAUUUCUGCGAGACACCUUAUUGCACAAGGACAGGUGAAAUUCCCUGUGGUGGGUGUUAAGAUUGCAUGGGUCCUGAGGACAGGAUAAAUCUCAUUUCUUGCUAAAUUUAUCCUGAAAGAUAUUCUUAAGUAUCCAAGGCAGGGGGAAAGGCAUGCUUAUGCUUGCUCUUUUGCCAUUUAAAAUAUUUAUUUGGAGUAUUUCACAGUAAAACUAACACAGUUUUUUCUUGUUCUAAGUAGAUGAGGAAGACAGUGCUGCAAGAAAUUAUGGUUUCCCCUUAAAAAAAAGACAGAUCUACUGUAAAGCAUGUAAGACAUGCUGACAAGUGUGGUCUGGAAUUGUGAUUACAUUAAUUACUGUAUUUGGGAUUGGAAAACAGAACGAGUUAGCCAAAAAGAGCCUAGACUGCACUGGUAUUUCUAAAGUAUAUAAUCUGAGUUUCAGAGGCUGAUGAAAAAAAAAAAAAGUCUCUUUUGUGUGUGACAUCAAAGAUUAGCAUAAAAAUCACAGAUCAUUUUUUACAGUAUGAUUAUCACAUUGCAAGAUAACAUGGGUUUCAUCUUAGUGAUCCUUAACACUGUACUUUGGUUCUUGCAGGGAGCAUUACUAUAUCUAUUUUUUUAAAGGAAAGCAUAAAUUGCUUAUGGGUGGAUGUUUAAGUGUUAUACAAUAUGGCUUUAAACUUUUCCUACAAUUAAAGCCUAAUCCAAAACACUGAAACACAUUAUCAAUUUUAUGCUUAACUGGAGCAUUUUUUCAACAGGUCUAUUCAUCUACUUAAAACUAAGCACAUGCUUAAGUGCAUUGUUGAACCGAGGCCAGAGUUGUUAAGAUGAAGCAAAAAAAAGAAAAACCACAAAAAAAAGUCUAACAGAUAAUAUGCAUAUUUUUGGGAUUAAAAUGUUCAUUUCAAGGAGAGGAAGAGCUUAAAUAUCUAUUAUCUGCAGGCACAGGUGAAAGAGGCAGCUGCUGAGGACACAACUGUUGACAGCUAUGGGUUGCUGGCUCUUCCUGGGACAGAGUGGAUGAGAUUGAUUGUUCCAGCAUUCCCUGCAGAUCCCCUUGAAUGGGGAGGUCAAACUGCCGGGAGCAGCAGCUACUGCUGGGGGGGGGUGGUGAGGCUGCCUGAGACAAAAGGGGCUUUGCUUCCUGAGGGUAAACUGAGGAAGGAGCAAAAAAAAAAACCAACAGGCCACUUCCAGUCCCACGCCCAAUUUCUCCACAGACUGUAUUUUUCUUAAAAGAAAACUAAAAAAGUAAAACUUCCACUUGAACCUUCUCCCAGAAUAUUUUUGUUUGCAUGUUAAGUUUGGCCAGUGCUGCUGAUCAUCUCUGAUGUUUGCAGUUAGUACUGUUUCAUUGGUGUUUUUUUUACUGUUACAAAUCCUGUGAGUUAAAGUUGCUGCUUUUAGGGCUGUUUUGCUGUUUUGCAGACAGGUAGUGACACCAAUAGCAGUGUGGUGAAUUAUUCAUAGAAUCCCAGAAUGGUUUGGGUUGGAAAGGACCUUAAAUCUCGUGUCAUUCCACACCCUGCCAUUGGCAGAGACACCUUUCAGUAUCCCAGGUUGCUCCAAGCCCUGUCCGACCUGGCCUUGACUAAACUUUUGGUGCAAGAAUAUGUAGAGUAACAUAUUGAUCAGUAAUAUUAAUAACCAUUGAUCAACAGUAUUAGUAGGACUCAAGUGCUACCAGGUACCACCCUGAGCAAAGCCUGGUUUAGGAGGAAGAGGAUUCCUGUUCCAUGUGAAACCUGCAGGUAAUACUGGAAAUCAAAGCACUUAACAUAGGACAGUCUAAAAGGAAAAGGAAGAUUGUCCUUAAGCCAGUAGAUGUUGCAUUUUUUACUUUCCCUUCGUGGUCUCUUCCCUUUUUGCCCCUGAACUGAGCAAAACACCUACACCUUGGCACCCCUAUAGGAAUCCCCUGGCUUUAAAGUUAAGUAGGUGUUAAAGUGCUCUGUGACAUCAGAGAGUCUGAGCAAGGAGAGGAAGAGGCCAUUGUGUUGUAAACAGUGCUAUGGAAACCGUGAUUUGCAGAAGAAAGUGGAAGGAGGGAAGUAAAGAAAAUAUAAUUUUUUCCCUCCCUUAAUAUUUAAAUCAUAACUGUGAUUAGCGACCAUGCUUCCUGUAUUUGUUUAGGUAACAUGAUAGGCAAAUGUAAUUGUUUUGAAACUGCCAGAAAUCCCUGUGUGUUGUUGCAUGCUGAGACAAUUUGAUUAAAGAUUGCUCAGCAAGGAGCCCAGCUGGUUUUCAGCCAGAGAAGAGGCAUUCCUGGAUGGAAUCUUGGAAAAUUCCUUUAAGGCUGUCCCAGUUUUGAUGUCUUUUAAACCUGCUACUUGUGGAAACAGCAACAGUCUAAUAAGCAGGGGUCUUCUGUCACUGAGGAUGCUGAAAUCUCGUUAGCAGAGGGAUAUUGACAGGUGGAGAGAUGGAGAGAAGAGCAGCGUACAUGGGAAAGACUUCUACUCAUAUCCUCUGUGGAGUCAGAUUUCCAGCUCUUGUGGAGUAUGUAAGAUGAUGAGGGAUCUGGAGCAUCUCCCUGAUGAGCAGAGACUGCAGGAGCUGGGCCUGGUAACUCUGAAGAGGAGAAGACUGAGAGGGGAUCCCAUCAAUCCACACAAAUAUCCCCAAGGGGUGUCAGAGGAUAGUCCCAGACUCUGUUCAGUGGUGCCCAGUGACAGGACAAGUGGCCAUAAACCAAAACACCGGAAGUUCCCCCUCAGAUGUGGCAGAACUUCUUUCCAUGGAGGUGGCAGAACAGCUGCCCAGGGAAGUGUGGAGUGUCCCUGUCUGGAGACA